GCACCCGUAGCUCAGCUGGAUAGAGUACUGCCCUCCGAAGGCAGGGGUCACAGGUUCGAAUCCUGUCGGGUGCGCCA
rnacentral:tRNA from 98 species